rnacentral:tRNA from 1 species
GCCCGGAGGACCCUUGGUGGGCUGGGGUGCAGACUUCAAAUCUGUAGCUGCCUAGCGGCAAAGGGGUUCAUUUCCACCUUUCAGGU